rnacentral:lncRNA from 1 species
AUCGCCAGUACCUACUGCAACAUCUUUUCUCCCUACACAGUGACUCCAGCUUGGGAGGGCAGGGCCAGGGUUGUCACAGCUUCCCCUGUGGUGUCUGCCUGCCAAGCACAGCUCUGGAGUUAGCCCUGGGUGUGAGG